rnacentral:lncRNA from 1 species
CCAAACCCCUAACCCUUAACCAUUAACCCCUAAACCUUAUUUAAUAUAUAAAUUAAAAAAACAAUAAUUAAUCUAAACACUAAACCCUAACCCGACCCCGAAUAUCAAACCCCUAACCCCUAAACAUUAGUUAAUAUAUAAAUUAAAACACACUAAUUAAUCUAAACCCUAAACCCUAACCUGACACCGAAUCCAUAAACCUUAAAUCCCUAACUCUUAACCUCUAACCCCUAACCCUUAACCCCUAACUCAUAAACCUUAAAUCACAACCCUUAAAUUAGAAUCCCUAAUCCAUAAUCCUUAACUCCAUAAUCUAUAAACCUUAAAAUUGUAACUCUUAAACCGGCC